rnacentral:misc_RNA from 1 species
UCUCUGCAUAAUCUUAGCCUCAAGAGCCAGAGAUGUGUCCGUCUGAAGCUCAUUCAAGUAGUUAAUACCUCGAACAUUGGUCCAUGAAACUUGAAACACAAUAAAACCAUAGAGGGUCCUGUGCAACUCAUUGCUUAGAAACAAAGAAUUUCGUAACUUCUUCACAGGUAGCAAGCCUCUUUUACGUGACAAAGUUGCUGCAUCGAUCAAUGAGAACCAUCUUUCAAUCUUCUUUGAUCUAGAAAGAUUGGACUCCGAACAAACUGCCUUUCCCUCUUUUCUCCCCCUCUGAGCCUUAGUGUUUGCAAAAGGAGAUAACCUGGACUUGGUAACCAUCAACUGCCACAAGUGAGCUGUCCGUGAACCAAAAUCCC